rnacentral:rRNA from 1 species
GAUACCUGGCGGCGUGCCUACACAUGCAAGUCGAGCGAUCUCUUCCGGAAAGAGCGCCGGGACGAGGGUGUAGUAACACGCUGGGGUAACCUGCCCUGUGCACACGGGAUAACAUACCCCAAGGUGUACUAUUACGGGAUAACAUACAAUAGUCUCAUGGGUUUUGUAUCUCAGCUCCCCCGGUGCACGAUGGACCCCCGUCUGAUUAUCUAUUUGGUAAGGUGAUGGCUUACCCAGGCGACAAUCUCUAUCCCACCUCAGAGGGUGAUCUGCCACACUGUAACUCAGACACGGUCCACACUCCUACAGGAGGCACCACUGUGGAAUAUUUCACACUGGGCGAAAGCCUGUUGCACCAACACCCCGUGAGCGAUAAAAGCCUUCUGGUCUCAAAGCUCUGUCCUCUCGGAAAAUAAUGACAGUGCUCGUGGAGGAAACCCCGGCUAACUACAUGCCACCACCCCCGCUAAUACAUAUGGGGCUAUCGUUAUCCCCAAUUACU